GCCGAGAUAGCUCAGUUGGUAGAGCGCAUCCAUGGUAAGGAUGAGGUCAGGGGUUCGAUUCCCCUUCUUGGCUCCA
rnacentral:tRNA from 2 species